UCGAGAAUUUUUCACAAUGGGGGAAACCCUGAUGGAGCGACGCCGCGUGGAGGACGAAGGGCUUCGUGCUUGUAAACUCCUGUCAAGCGGGAACAAGAAAGUGAUAGUACCGCUAGAGGUAGAGACGGCUAACUCUGUGCCAGCAGCCGCGGUAAUACAGAGGUCUCAAGCGUUGUUCGGAUUCAUUGGGCGUAAAGGGUGCGUAGGCGGCGUGGUAAGUCGAAUGUGAAAUCUCGGAGCUCAACUCCGAAACUGCAUUCGAUACUGCCAUGCUCGAGGGUUGUAGAGGAGAUCGGAAUUCACGGUGUAGCAGUGAAAUGCGUAGAUAUCGUGAGGAAGACCAGUUGCGAAAGCGGAUCUCUGGGCAACUCCUGACGCUGAGGCACGAAGGCUAGGGGAGCAAACGG
rnacentral:rRNA from 1 species